GUCCCUGUAGUGCAAUGGAUAGCACGUUGAACUUCCAAUCCAAAGGUCAUGGGUUUAAAUCCCACCUGGGAUU